AGGAUCUUAGUUAUGAGAGUAGACCUACACAGAUAGUGGACAGAACAGUCAAGAGACUAAGGAACAAAGAAGUGCCACUAGUGAAGGUCAUAUGGCAGAACCAGAAGCACGAGGAAGUCACUUGGAAACGAGAGGAUAGCAUGAGACAAAAAUAUCCAGAAUUAUUCUAAGUUCGUGGACGAACUUUUUAUAAGAUAUGGAUAAAAAUAAAGGAAAGGCUAAAGUGGC